UACGUAGGGGGCUAGCGUUGCUCGGAAUCACUGGGCGUAAAGGGUGCGUAGGCGGGUCUUUAAGUCAGGGGUGAAAUCCUGGAGCUCAACUCCAGAACUGCCUUUGAUACUGAGGAUCUUGAGUUCGGGAGAGGUGAGUGGAACUGCGAGUGUAGAGGUGAAAUUCGUAGAUAUUCGGAAGAACACCAGUGGCGAAGGCGACUCACUGGACAGGCAUUGACGCUGAGGUGCGAAAGCGUGGGGAGCAAACAGG
rnacentral:rRNA from 1 species